rnacentral:rRNA from 1 species
GAUUGUUUGAUCCUGGCUCAGGAUGAACGCUAGCGGGAGGCUUAAUACAUGCAAGUCGAGCGGCAAGGUCCUCGGACCAUAGAGCGGCGCACGGGUGAGUAACGCGUACGCAAUCUGCCCUUCAGUGAGGAAUAGCCCUGGGAAACUGGGAUUAAUACCUCAUAAUAUUGUUUGUUCGCAUGGAUAGACAAUUAAAGUUCUGGCGCUGAAGGAUGAGCGUGCGUCUGAUUAGCUAGUUGGUAGGGUAACGGCCUACCAAGGCGACGAUCAGUAGGGGGCGUGAGAGCGUGACCCCCCACACGGGUACUGAGACACGGACCCGACUCCUACGGGAGGCAGCAGUAAGGAAUAUUGGGCAAUGGAGGCAACUCUGACCCAGCCAUCCCGCGUGAAGGAUUAAGGCCCUAUGGGUUGUAAACUUCUUUUGCUUGGGAAGAAAUCAGGACAUUUAUGUGCUGUUGACGGUACCUUGCGAAUAAGCACCGGCUAACUCCGUGCCAGCAGCCGCGGUAAUACGGAGGGUGCAAGCGUUAUCCGGAAUCACUGGGUUUAAAGGGUGCGUAGGCGGUUCGAUAAGUCAGAGGUGAAAGCUAGCAGCUUAACUGUUAAAUUGCCUUUGAUACUGUCGGACUUGAAUCAGGUUGAGGUAGGCGGAAUGUGACAUGUAGCGGUGAAAUGCAUAGAUAUGUCAUAGAACACCAAUUGCGUAGGCAGCUUGCUGGGCUUGAAUUGACGCUGAGGCACGAAAGCGUGGGGAUCAAACAGGAUUAGAUACCCUGGUAGUCCACGCCCUAAACGAUGUUAACUCGAUAUUUAUUCUUCGGAGUGAGUGCCAAGCGAAAGCGUUAAGUAACCACCUGGA